rnacentral:rRNA from 1 species
AGAUUGAACGCUGGCGGCAGGCCUAACACAUGCAAGUCGAGCGGUAGAGAGGUGCUUGCACCUCUUGAGAGCGGCGGACGGGUGAGUAAUGCCUAGGAAUCUGCCUAGUGGUGGGGGAUAACGUUCGGAAACGGACGCUAAUACCGCAUACGUCCUACGGGAGAAAGUGGGGGACCUUCGGGCCUCGCGCCGUUAGAUGAGCCUAGGUCGGAUUAGCUAGUUGGUGAGGUAAUGGCUCACCAAGGCGACGAUCCGUAACUGGUCUGAGAGGAUGAUCAGUCACACUGGAACUGAGACACGGUCCAGACUCCUACGGGAGCAGCAGUGGGGAAUAUUGGACAAUAGGCGAAAGCCUGAUCCAGCCAUGCCGCGUGUGUGAAGAAGGUCUUCGGAUUGUAAAGCACUUUAAGUGGAGGAGGGUUGUAACUUAAUACGUUGCAAUUUGACGUUACCGACAGAAUAAGCACGCUAACUCGCGCCAGCAGCCG